GCCGCCCAGGAUGAGUAAUAAUGGAAGCAAUUUGUAACUUUCAGUAACUCUCUAGGCCUGGGUACCGGAGGGAGGGAGGCGGGCAAAGGAGGGGAGAUGGGCACCCCCAGUCUUUCCAUCCUCCUCAUUCGUCUAGGGGCACCCGAAUCCCCUAUUCCUUAUUUCCCGUAUCAAUCAGGCACUGGCAGCGUCCUUUGCUACUCCUGUUGGCCGCCGCGGCUCCAAAGCGAGCUGGGCAGAUGUGCCUGAGACAGGUUUGACCAGGCAACUGAAAAGAUAUCCCUAAGAGAAGACAAAGCAAAGGUAUGAAAGGAACACACGUCCCUGACUGACUAGGAGGAACAGAGCUGCCUGCUGUCUGGAACCGCUUCCUCCCAGACUAAGUGAGAAAUAAACUUCUGUUUUCUAUA
rnacentral:lncRNA from 1 species